rnacentral:rRNA from 1 species
UUGGAGGGCAAGUCUGGUGCCAGCAGCCGCGGUAAUUCCAGCUCCAAUAGCGUAUAUUAAACUUGUUGCAGUUAAAAAGCUCGUAGUUGUAUUUUUGCGUUAGCGGUUUGACCAUUUGGUUGGUUAUUUCGUUUUCGCUUUUGGGAAUUUCCCUUUUUACUUUGAGAAAAUUAGAGUGUUUCAAGCAGACUUUUGUCUUGAAUACUUCAGCAUGGAAUAAUAGAGUAGGACUUUGGUUCUAUUUUGUUGGUUAUUGAACCUUAGUAAUGGUUAAUAGGAACGGUUGGGGGCAUUCGUAUUUAACUGUCAGAGGUGAAAUUCUUAGAUUUGUUAAAGACGAACUACUGCGAAAGCAUUUGCCAAGGACGUUUCCAUUAAUCAAGAACGAAAGUUAGGGGAUCGAAGACGAUCAGAUACCGU